AACUUGCAAUUUUAUUUUUAAUUUUCUUUUUGACGUAGGGGUUAUUUUGGAGAAUAUUGCUAUAUUAUCAGGCAAUUACUAUGAUCAUUUUUAUUAUUAAUUUCUAAUUUUAUUUUGUUAAGAGGAUAUGCCUAUAUAUUCUCUCCUUUUUGGAAUUUAUUAAUGUAUUUUUAUGUUUUUGAGGACAUGAUCGAUUUGUUAAAAGUUUUAUACAUGUAAGAAAAAAGAUGCACAUUCUCUCCUUAUAUCAUGCAAAUUUCUUUCUAUUGAGUUAAUAUCAUUGGUUGAUUAUUUAGAUCCUCUAUGUCUUUGAUUAUCUUUUCAUCUAAUGGGUUGGUCAAAUUCCGAUAGAGGUGUAUUAAAGUUCUCCUUGUAAUUCUAACAGUUUUUGCUUUAUCUGUUUAGUUGCAAUGCUGUUUGGUACAUACAAAAGUAUUACUUAUAAUUUCUUUAGUUGUGCCAUUUUUAUUCAUACAAAUAAUGAUUUAAAUUGUGUUUUAGAGCUUCCUUUGGCUUAUAUUAAUAUUUUCAACCAUGUUUUCUUUUUGCUUGCUUAUGCCUGAUAUCUCCUCACUCACUGAUCUGUUUCAACAUUUCUUUGUUGCUAUGCUGUAGGUGUGUUUCUUGUAAAGAACAUAUAGUUGGAUUUUUAAUUCACUAUCAUGGUCUGUGCCCUUUUACCUUUAGUGCAACAGUUAAUACCCUUGAUUUUAUUCUCUUCAUUUUGUUUUAUGUUCCUAUUAUUUUUACUAUUAAUUUUAUUUUGUCGAGCCCCCAUUUCCUUUCUCUAAUUUAUUUUUUUUAGUUUAUUCAAACUUCUAUUCUUACACAUUCAUUAUAUUGUGAAUUUGGAAAAUUUACUAUGCUUUUCUACACACUUCAUUCCAUGAAUGCUAGCACUCAAAAUCAAACAAUGUUUCUCUACUGUUGAAUCCAAAUGAGAUAAUUAUACCACCCACUGAGGCACCUUAUUUUCCCACUGCCCCCAACUCCAAAAAUAGGAAACCUUUAGAAACAUUUAUACAAAGUCCAAGUAGCAUUCAAUACAUAGUGGUUAAAUUUGUGAUCUCAGAAUGACAGUGGCUGAGUUAGAAGCUAUUUAUUUAAAAGCUGUAUUUUCUUGGGUGAGUUUUAAAUCACUGUCUAUAUAAAUUUCUUUAUGUGAAAAUGAAGUUAAGAAUUGGAUUAUCUCAUAAGGUUGCUGAGCUGAUAUGUAAAGAUAUGUAAAGUGCUUAGAGCAGCACCUGACAAGUACUAAGUGCUCAAUAAAUGCUACCUGUGAUAAUUUAGACAUGGAUUGUAUUCUCUCUGAAUCUUUGCAUGCUUGAAUAUAUCCUACUUCACCUUGACUUGUAAUGAUUACCUAGGUUGGGCACACAGUUUUGGAGUUACUACUCUUUCCUUUUAGUAGUGUGUGGAGAUUAUUUCCUUGUUUUCUUACCUCCAGGAUGGCAAGUAAAAAUAAUUUACCUGUCGGAUAUUUUCCCUUUUUAUGUAACUUCUUUUUUAUAAUAUUCUCUGUGAUUGGAAUUUAUGAAUUUUAUAAUGAUACUUCUAGGCAUUUGAACUUUUAAAAACUAAUGGUGUCUGGAACUUGGGGUAUCUUUUUAUUGUUCAACCUCAAGAUUUUCUUUAGAUUAGAGAAAUUUUUCUUCACAAUUUCUUUACCUAUCACUUUUCCAUCUGUUUCUCUUCCUCGUCCUAGAAAUUCAUUAAUGUAUUGGGCCUUUUGGAUCCGUCCUCCAAGAUUUAUCUUUUCCUUCAUCAUUUUCAUUUAUUGUUUAAAUUUUCACCUGAUCACCUUGGCUGCUUAUUCAAUUUUCA
rnacentral:lncRNA from 10 species